rnacentral:rRNA from 1 species
AGAGUUUGAUCCUGGCUCAGGACGAACGCUGGCGGCGUGCCUAAUACAUGCAAGUCGAGCGGACCGGAUUGGGGCUUGCCUUGAUUCGGUCAGCGGCGGACGGGUGAGUAACACGUGGGCAACCUGCCCGCAAGACCGGGAUAACUCCGGGAAACCGGAGCUAAUACCGGAUAACACCGAAGACCGCAUGGUCUUCGGUUGAAAGGCGGCCUUUGGGCUGUCACUUGCGGAUGGGCCCGCGGCGCAUUAGCUAGUUGGUGAGGUAACGGCUCACCAAGGCGACGAUGCGUAGCCGGCCUGAGAGGGUGACCGGCCACACUGGGACUGAGACACGGCCCAGACUCCUACGGGAGGCAGCAGUAGGGAAUCUUCCGCAAUGGGCGAAAGCCUGACGGAGCGACGCCGCGUGAGCGAAGAAGGCCUUCGGGUCGUAAAGCUCUGUUGUGAGGGACGGAGGAGCGCCGUUCGAAGAGGGCGGCGCGGUGACGGUACCUCACGAGAAAGCCCCGGCUAACUACGUG